CAUGCAAGUGGUAGGAAGCCGAAAGGUGACCGACCUUCGGGAGCUUGCACAGGUGCUGCAUGGCUGUCGUCAGCUCGUGUCGUGAGAUGUUCGGUUAAGUCCGCUAACGAGCGCAACCCUCGCUGUGUGUUAUAUGUGUCACACGGGACUGCCGGUCUUAAGCCGGAGGAAGUGGGGAUGAUGUCAAGUCAGCAUGGCCUUUAUAUCCUGGGCUACACACACGCUACAAUGGCCAACACAAUAGGUUGCUAAGCCGCGAGGUGGCGCCAAUCCAUAAAGUUGGUCUCAGUUCAGAUUGUAGGCUGCAACCCGCCUGCAUGAAGAUGGAGUUGCUAGUAACCGCAGGUCAGCUAUACUGCGGUGAAUACGUUCCCGGGGCUU
rnacentral:rRNA from 1 species